GACGAACGCUGGCGGCGUGCUUAACACAUGCAAGUCGAACGGAAAGGCCCUGCUUUUGUGGGGUGCUCGAGUGGCGAACGCGUGAGUAACACGUGAGUAACCUGCCCUUGACUUUGGGAUAACUUCAGGAAACUGGGGCUAAUACCGGAUAGGAGCUCCUGCUGCAUGGUGGUGGUUGGAAAGUUUCGGCGGUUGGGGAUGGACUCGCGGCUUAUCAGCUUGUUGGUGGGGUAGUGGCUUACCAAGGCUUUGACGGGUAGCCGGCCUGAGAGGGUGACCGGCCACAUUGGGACUGAGAUACGGCCCAGACUCCUACGGGAGGCAGCAGUGGGGAAUAUUGCACAAUGGGCGGAAGCCUGAUGCAGCAACGCCGCGUGCGGGAUGACGGCCUUCGGGUUGUAAACCGCUUUCGCCUGUGACGAAGCGUGAGUGACGGUAAUGGGUAAAGAAGCACCGGCUAACUACGUG
rnacentral:rRNA from 1 species